CUCUCUCUCUCUCUGUGUGUGUGUGUGUGUGUGUGUGUGUUGGUCAGGGUUCUUUAAAGGGACAGAACUAAUAGGAUAGAUGAAUAUAUGAAGAGGAGCUUAUUAGGAGAAUUGACUCACACAGUCACAAGGUGAAGUCUCACAAUAGGUUGUCUGCAAGCUGAGGAGGCAGGAAGCCAGUCUGAGUCCCAAAACCUCAAAAGUAGGAAAGCCGAUAGUGUAGCCUUCAGUCUGUGACCAAAGGCUCAAGAGCCCCUGGCAAAUCACUGGUGUUAGUCCAAGUGUCCAGUGUGUGUGUGUAUGUGUGUGUUUAAUAUCUCAGUUAUGUCUAAGCCCCAGACAACAGGUUUCAUGGACAGUGAUAAUCAUAUGCUCUUUGAAAAAUAUAACUACCCCAAA
rnacentral:lncRNA from 1 species